UACGUAGGGUGCGAGCGUUGUCCGGAAUUACUGGGCGUAAAGAGUUCGUAGGCGGUUUGUCGCGUCGUUCGUGAAAACUUGGGGCUUAACUCCAAGCGUGCGGGCGAUACGGGCAGACUUGAGUACUACAGGGGAGACUGGAAUUCCUGGUGUAGCGGUGAAAUGCGCAGAUAUCAGGAGGAACACCGGUGGCGAAGGCGGCGCUCUGGACCGAGACUGACGCUGAGGCGCGAAAGCGUGGGGAGCAAACAGG
rnacentral:rRNA from 1 species